GAUGAAGAACGUAGCGAAAUGCGAUACUUGGUGUGAAUUGCAGAAUCCCGUGAACCAUCGAGUCUUUGAACGCAAGUUGCGCCCGAAGCCACUAGGCCGAGGGCACGCCUGCCUGGGCGUCACACGCCGUUGCCCCCCCAUCUACUCCUUCGGGAUUGCGGGGGGGCGGAUGAUGGCCUCCCGUGCGCCUAGCCGCGCGGUUGGCAUAGAUACCAAGUCCUCGGCGACGCACGCCACGACAAUCGGUGGUUGCGAAACCUCGGUUGCCCGUCGUGUGCGUUCGUCGCGCAUCGAGGGCUCGAAAAAAUGCUCGGCUCCGGCUGGGCUUUCAACGCGACCCCAGGUCAGGCGGGGUUACCCGCUGAAUUUAAGCAUAUCAAUAAGCGGAGGA
rnacentral:misc_RNA from 1 species